AGCGAACGCUGGCGGCAGGCCUAACACAUGCAAGUCGAACGAACUCUUCGGAGUUAGUGGCGGACGGGGGAGUAACACGUGGGAACGUGCCUUUAGGUUCGGAAUAACUCAGGGAAACUUGUGCUAAUACCGAAUGUGCCCUUCGGGGGAAAGAUUUAUCGCCUUUAGAGCGGCCCGCGUCUGAUUCGCUGGUUGGUAAGGUAAAGGCUCACCAAGGCGACGAUCAGUAGCUGGUCUGAGAGGAUGAUCAGCCACAUUGGGACUGAGACACGGCCCAAACUCCUACGGGAGGCAGGAGUGGGGAAUCUUGCGCAAUGGGCGAAAGCCUGACGCAGCCAUGCCGCGUGAAUGAUGAAGGUCUUAGGAUUGUAAAAUUCUUUCACCGGGGACGAUAAUGACGGUACCCGGAGAAGAAGCCCCGGCUAACUUCGUG
rnacentral:rRNA from 1 species